CAAUCACUUGUCUCUUAAAUGGAGACCUGUAUGAAAGGCACCACGAGGGCUUAGCUGUCUCCCCUUUAAGGUCAAUGAAAUUGAUCUCCCCGUGCAGAAGCGGGGAUACGCUCGUAAGACGAGAAGACCCUAUGGAGCUUAAGACAUAAGACGACCCAUGUCAAAACCCCCUCUAAAAGGAAAUGAACAGAAUGGACUUCGCCGAAAUGUCUUCGGUUGGGGCGACCGCGGGGAAAAACCAAACCCCCACAUGGAUCAGGGCCACAAUAGCCUUAAAACCCAGACCCCCGAGUCAAAUCAACAGUAUUUCUGACCACCAAAGAGCCGGCAAUGCCGAUCAACGGACCGAGUUACCCUAGGGAUAACAGCGCAAUCCCCUCCCAGAGCCCU
rnacentral:rRNA from 1 species